ACAACCGUGCACACCGAGGUUAAACUUUACCGGGUCCACUCCGACUCGCCGGCCGCCCACUACUCCGAAGGCAACAAAACAUUCCGCGGCAUCAUUGCUACUCUCGAGAUUGUCAUCCUCGACUUGCUUGUGCAUUGGGCUCGCACUGUGCACACACAAGCAAUGUCUAGACAAUCCUAAUCAUAGCUCAACCGCCCACACGAAGAGAAUUGGCUUAGCUUUUUCAAAAGCCAACCCGCCCCCAACGUGUUCGUGUGGCCGACAAUUCGCUAGCUUCUUCAUGAACUCCGCAGAAAGCCGUCCUCGACGUACCCGUGCAUUGAGAAGGUUUGGUGGCCGUACUCCCAACAAAAAAGCAUAACCGAAGACAACCCCGAGCUAAAUUCCACCCGAAGCCCGCCCAUCGUCACCACGCGUGUUCGUGUGCCCAACAAUUGGCCAGCUUCUUCAUCAACCCCGCCGAAAGCCAUCCCCCGACAUACCCGUGCAUUGAGAAGGUUUGGUGGUCGUACUCCCAACACAAAAGAAUAACCGAGGACAACCCCAAGCCAAAGUAAACUCGAAAGCCAACCCAUCGUCACCCACACUAGUCAGUGAAUGGUGUGCUUCCCCGGGUUGGAAUAGACAUUCCCUCGCAAGCAAAAGAUUGUCUAUGCAAGAAGAUUGUCUAUGCCAACCCCGGGAAGAACACCAUUCACCCACUCCCGCCCUGUGUGGUGUGGCGGUGAUUGGAUAGCUACGGAUUGAGCAAUUGCCAUGGAUCAAAAUGUGUCAUUUGGAAGGAUUUUUGUCAAAAAGUUUUAAAAUCUCGUGGGUUUGUAAAUCAUAGGAGCAUCACUUUCAACGUCCCCGGUAUUGGGUUGAGUUUCUAAAACCAACCGUGCACACCGAGGUUAAACUUUACCGGGUCCGCUCCAAAAACAUUUGUUUUUCAUUUUGAUGAAAAUUUCUGAUUUUAAAACGUUUUGGUUUGAAAUUGUUUUGAAAAGGUUCUUUAAAUCUUGUGGGUUUGCAACUCGUGGGAGCAUCACUUUCAACGUCCCCGGUAUUGGAUUGAGUUUCUAAAAACAACCGCGCACACCGAGGUUAAACUUUACCGGGUCCGCUCCGACUCGCCGCUCACCCACACUAUUCCGAAGGCAACGAAACAUUUGUUUUUAAUUUUGAUGAAAUUGUUUUGAAAAAUUUGGCUAGGCAAUCCCAAUCCGCGACUAUCCACUCACCGCCACCCCACACGGGUGGUUGUUAGUUGCGAAAUGAGGUUGUGGUCGACAUGCCGGUGCAUUUGAGAAGGAGUUCCUAGCAACUCCGUGCUCCCCCAUGCAAAAAAAAAAAGCCUAGACAACCCCAUUUCGCAACUUUCCACGCCUUUUUUUUUUUUCCCCACCUCACCCAUGGCGGCGGCGUGGUGGCGGCCGGAUUUCCGCCACCACCGCCAUGGGUGGCAGCCCCCCCCCCCGACACAAACCCAUAAUACCGAGGCAUCAUAUCGAGGCAACAUGACAUGGGUGUGGCGUGGGGGAAGGGGGCUGCAGCUAGGAAGGCAUGGGCUGCCAUGCAUAUGCAGGCAACACACACCCCCUAUAUAGCAUUUUAUGCAUUUUGCCCUUUGACAGGAGGAGACAUCAACUAUGCGCGAGGAGUCAUAAUGGGCUCUAAAUAAUUCAAUACAAGGUAUUUUGACCUGAUUUUUUGUAGGGACACUAAGAAAAAUGCAAUCUAUGAUGAGAAAAAGUUUCAUAAAUUUUUGAAGUCGGGAAGUAUUUUUUAUUAUUUUUAGAAGUCGUAAAAUUGAAAAAAUCAUUAAAAAAAUUGGGGAGGAAUUUUUUAGUUUUGUAAGUUGGAGAAGGUCCUAAAAAUCAUAGACUACUUAUGGGGAGCUUAUUGCGCGAGGAAAUUUCAAUAAAAAUGGGGUUUGACAAGGUUUGAAAAAUUCUGUCGACAUUUGUGGGCAUGCUGUGGGCAUGCUGUGGGCAUAUGUGGGCAUGCUGUGGGCAGUAAGGCAAGGCAUGGCAUGUCAAGCUGCGCAUGUCAAGCUGCCAAUAGCCUCACUCUCGAAAUGCCUUGCAAUGCCAAGGGAAGACAUGCCAAGGCAAGGCAUGCCAAGGCCACGGCACGCCGAGGCAUGCCAACGCAAGGCAAGGCAUGCUGCCAUGUCAAGCUUCCGAUAGCCUCACUCUCGAAAUGCCCUGCAAUGCCAAGGCCAAGCCAAGGCAAGGCAUGCCAACGCAAGGCAAGGCAUGCCAAGGCGAAGGCAAGGCAUGCCAAGGCCAAGGCAAGGCAUGCCGAGGCCAAGGCAUGCCAAGGCCACGGCACGCCAAGGCCAAGCACGACAUGCCAACGCAAGGCAAGGCAUGUCAAGGUCAAGGCAUGCAAGGCCACGCCAUGCCAAUGCCAAUGCACGACAUGCCAAAGCAAGCCAAGGCCACACCAUGCCAAGCUUCCAAUAGCCUCACUUUCUCGAAAUGCCUUGAAUGGGGCAAGGCCAAGGCCAAGGCAU
rnacentral:lncRNA from 1 species